UAUUCUAACCGUGCAAAGGUAGCGUAAUCACUUGUCUUCUAAAUAAAGACCAGUAUGAACGGCUAAAUGAGGACAAACCUGUCUCCUACAACAAAUCAGUGAAACUGAUCUCCCAGUACAAAAGCUGGUAUAAACACAUAAGACGAGAAGACCCUGUGGAGCUUACAAAUAAACGUUCAAUGACCGUAUAUUUUAAGUUGGGGCGACUUCGGAAAAAAACAAAACUUCCGAGAACCCAGUCAAACUGAUUAACGAACCAAGUUACCCCAGGGAUAACAGCGCCAUCUUCUUCAAGAGUCCAUAUCGACAAGAAGGUUUACGACCUCGAUGUUGGAUCAGGACACCCAAAUGGUGCAGCAGCUAUUAAAGGUUCG
rnacentral:rRNA from 1 species